CUAUAUUACAUGGAUUUAUUGUGAUGGUGUAGACUAUAUUACAUGGAUUUAUUGUGAUGGUGUAGGUAGACUAUAUUACAUGGAUUUAUUGUGAUGGUGUAGGUAGACUAUAUUACAUGGAUUUAUUGUGAUGGUGUAGACUAUAUUACAUGGAUUUAUUGUGAUGGUGUAGACUAUAUUACAUGGUUUAUUGUGAUGGUGUAGACUAUAUUACAUGGAUUUAUUGUGAAGGUGUAGACUAUAUUACAUGGAUUUAUUGUGAUGGUGUAGGUAGACUAUAUUACAUGGAUUUAUUGUGAUGGUGUAGACUAUAUUACAUGGAUUUAUUGUGAUGGUGUAGACUAUAUUACAUGGAUUUAUUGUGAAGGUGUAGGUAGACUAUAUUACAUGGAUUUAUUGUGAUGGUGUAGACUAUAUUACAUGGAUUUAUUGUGAUGGUGUAGGUAGAC